rfam:Aedes aegypti strain Liverpool supercont1.317 genomic scaffold, whole genome shotgun sequence.
UGCCCAGCAACUCCUAUCUCUACCUCCUCGCGGUACUGGCCGGGGUACGAGUAACCUUAGGGAAGAUCGGGUAAUCAACCCCAGUGGGAACUCUGGUCGUAUGCUGACGGGGAAGG